rnacentral:pre_miRNA from 1 species
CUUUCUACACAGGUUGGGAUCGGUUGCAAUGCUGUGUUUCUCUAAGGUAUUGCACUUGUCCCGGCCUGUUGAGUUUGG